UACGUAGGGUGCAAGCGUUAAUCGGAAUUACUGGGCGUAAAGCGUGCGCAGGCGGUUUUGUAAGUCUGUCGUGAAAGCCCCGGGCUCAACCUGGGAAUUGCGAUGGAGACUGCAAGGCUUGAAUCUGGCAGAGGGGGGUUGAAUUCCACGUGUAGCAGUGAAAUGCGUAGAGAUGUGGAGGAACACCGAUGGCGAAGGCAGCCCCCUGGGUCAAGAUUGACGCUCAUGCACGAAAGCGUGGGGAGCAAAUAGG
rnacentral:rRNA from 1 species